UUAAGGUAAGCUUCGUGCCUAGAUGCAUUCAGCACUUAUCUUAACUAACAUAGCUUUCCUGCCAUGCCUAUACUAUAAA
rnacentral:tRNA from 1 species